AACCAUAGAAACCUGCGGAGUACCUGCGGAAGGAUCAUUACAGAGUUGCAAAACUCCCUAAACCAUUGUGAACCUACCUUCUACCGUUGCUUCGGCGGGCGGGCCUAGCGCCCCCCCGGCCCCCCGCGGGCGCCCGCCGGAGGAUAACCAAACUCUUGACAUCAGUGGCCUCUCUGAGUAUUCUUUACUGAAUAAGUCAAAACUUUUAACAACGGAUCU
rnacentral:misc_RNA from 1 species